GUAUAAGCAAUUAUACCGUGAAACUGCGAAUGGCUCAUUAAAUCAGUUAUCGUUUAUUUGAUAAUACCUUACUACUUGGAUAACCGUGGUAAUUCUAGAGCUAAUACAUGCUGAAAAUCCCGACUUCGGAAGGGAUGUGUUUAUUAGAUAAAAAACCAAUGCCCCGGGGCUUUUUGGUGAUUCAUGAUAACUUUACGGAUCGCAUAGCCUUGCGCUGGCGACGGUUCAUUCAAAUUUCUGCCCUAUCAACUUUCGAUGGUAAGGUAUUGGCUUACCAUGGUUUCAACGGGUAACGGGGAAUUAGGGUUCGAUUCCGGAGAGGGAGCCUGAGAAACGGCUACCACAUCCAAGGAAGGCAGCAGGCGCGCAAAUUACCCAAUCCCGACACGGGGAGGUAGUGACAAUAAAUACUGAUACAGGGCUCUUUUGGGUCUUGUAAUUGGAAUGAGUACAAUUUAAACCUCUUAACGAGGAACAAUUGGAGGGCAAGUCUGGUGCCAGCAGCCGCGGUAAUUCCAGCUCCAAUAGCGUAUAUUAAAGUUGUUGCAGUUAAAAAGCUCGUAGUUGAAACUUGGGCCUGGCUGGCGGGUCCGCCUCACCGCGUGCACUCGUCCGGCCGGGCCUUCCUUCUGAAGAACCUCAUGCCCUUCACUGGGCGUGCUGGGGAAUCAGGACUUUUACUUUGAAAAAAUUAGAGUGUUCAAAGCAGGCCUUUGCUCGAAUACGUUAGCAUGGAAUAAUAAAAUAGGGCGUGCGUUUCUAUUUUGUUGGUUUCUAGAGACGCCGCAAUGAUUAACAGGAACAGUCGGGGGCAUCAGUAUUCAGUUGUCAGAGGUGAAAUUCUUGGAUUUACUGAAGACUAACUACUGCGAAAGCAUUUGCCAAGGAUGUUUUCAUUAAUCAGUGAACGAAAGUUAGGGGAUCGAAGACGAUCAGAUACCGUCGUAGUCUUAACCGUAAACUAUGCCGACUAGGGAUCGGGCGAUGUUCUUUUUCUGACUCGCUCGGCACCUUACGAGAAAUCAAAGUUUUUGGGUUCUGGGGGGAUUAUGGUCGCAAGGCUGAAACUUAAAGAAAUUGACGGAAGGU
rnacentral:rRNA from 1 species